rnacentral:rRNA from 1 species
CCUACGGGAGGCAGCAGUGAGGAAUAUUGGUCAAUGGGAGAAAUCCUGAACCAGCCAUGCAGCGUGCAGGACGACGGCUCUACGAGUUGUAAACUGCUUUUGUACCGGGGUAAAAUGCCUUACGAGUAGUGUUUUGCAUGUACGGUACGAAUAAGGAUCGGCUAACUCCGUGCCAGCAGCCGCGGUAAUACGGAGGAUCCGAGCGUUAUCCGGAUUCAUUGGGUUUAAAGGGAGCGUAGGUUGGUUUUUAAGUUAGCUGUGAAAUACUGCUGCUCAACCUCGAGACUGCCGCUGAUACUG